AUCGAACGCUGGCGGCAGGCCUAACACAUGCAAGUCGAGCGGAGCGGCGGACGGGUGAGUAAUGCCUAGGAAUCUGCCUGGUAGUGGGGGAUAACGUCCGGAAACGGGCGCUAAUACCGCAUACUAUCAGAUGAGCCUAGGUCGGAUUAGCUAGUUGGUAGGGUAAAGGCCUACCAAGGCGACGAUCCGUAACUGGUCUGAGAGGAUGAUCAGUCACAUUGGGACGGAGACACGGACCAGACUCCUACGGGAGGCAGCAGUGGGGAAGAUUGGACAAUGGGCGAAAGCGUGAUCCAGCCAUGCCGCGUGUGUGAAGAAGGGCUUCGUGUUGUAAAGUACUUUAAGUCGGGAGGCGUUACCAACAGAAGAAGCACCGGCUAACUCCGUGCCAGCAGCCGCGGUAAUAC
rnacentral:rRNA from 1 species